GACGAACGCUGGCGGCGUGCCUAAUACAUGCAAGUAGAACGCACAGUUUAUACCGUAGCUUGCUACACCAUAGACUGUGAGUUGCGAACGGGUGAGUAACGCGUAGGCAACCUGCCUGGUAGCGGGGGAUAACUAUUGGAAACGAUAGCUAAUACCGCAUAAUAUUGAUUAUUGCAUGAUAAUUGAUUGAAAGAUGCUAUUGCAUCACUACCAGAUGGACCUGCGUUGUAUUAGCUAGUAGGUGAGGUAACGGCUCACCUAGGCGACGAUACAUAGCCGACCUGGGAGGGUGAUCGGCCACACUGGGACUGGGACACGGCCCAGAAUCCUACGGGAGGCAGCAGUAGGGAAUCUUCGGCAAUGGACGAAAGUCUGACCGAGCAACGCCGCGUGAGUGACGAAGGUUUUCGGAUCGUAAAGCUCUGUUGUAAGAGAAGAACGGGUGUGAGAGUGGAAAGUUCACACUGUGACGGUAUCUUACCAGAAAGGGACGGCUAACUACGUG
rnacentral:rRNA from 1 species